AGAUAUAACUAAAGAUGGCAGUGACAGUUGCUAGAAUGAAAGUUCCGAUGAACUCAGCACCAACCUUUUUUACCAUAGGGACAGGAGGAGGCAGAGGCAAAAAGCAUGAGACAGGGUGAUGCUUUGAUUACAUUGAAGAACUGAUCCAUAAGCAGGAGCUUUGACAACAGUCUUACGCCUUCUAAUCCUAUUUUCUAUUACUAAUUCUGGGUUGCCAAAGAAGCACUUCGAUUACCUCAGGCAAGCUUCAUGCUUCAUUGAUACCUUGUCCCAUUUUUUUUUUCUUCAUUUUGUUACGUUUGUAGAUUAAUGGGAAUCCCUAACCUAUAAUGUUAUUCCCAUUUGCUUUUUGUACAAUACACUAGCAUAUUUUAUUUUUUGAAGUACUUAGUUUUAAUGUAUAUUUGUAAACUUCUCAUUCAUUGGAGAGAGCUAUUUCAUAGCUAUUGAUUUGAGCACGUAGCAAUGCUAAACAAUUUAGAGAAAGCUGGAUUAUUUAAAAAGCAGGAGUCAAAAAGCAACUGGCUUACUAUAAAACGUGCUUUGCAGCUUGUGGUUGAAGACACCGAUACGGCCAAGAAAUUUCUUCUAAAUGAUAUCAUAUGACCAUUAGACAGUUGAUAUAUUUUAAAUUUUAUAUUAAAUUAAUGGUCACAAUUUGGAUAAUAUGUGUGAGCAUGGUGAUGGGUGUGUGCGACAGAAAUAAAAUACGACAUACAUAUAUUUCCAUUGUGAAAUAUGAUAACAAAUGUUGAACUAAGCAUCCAAUUCUUUAAUAUCUGCCCAAUCGCAUUGAAGAUUAAUUUAAUGUUGCAGUUUAUAACUGUUUUUUCUCAUGUAAUGUUUUUAUGUUAUUUAUAACUGUUUGAAUCAAAGACACAUAUUAUCCCAUUCACCUUUUUUAGUCGUUAUAUAUAUGUUAAAAAACGAAUAAGCCUAAUAUGUUUGCUUUGCAAUCACAGUUCACCCCAAAUUCAAAUAAGACUUUGGGAAUUCAAAUUCUGGAGUCCCGUACGUGGGUUCUUCAACAUGCAUCUGGUACUGGAUAGGAAUUCGGGCAUUCAUUGGAUUUAUCUUCCUCUUCGACAUUAUGUACACUUUGGCUCUCUCACUUACCUAAACUAGGUACAUAAAUCUUGCCCAGCAUCUAUCAACAUUCACUUCAAAUCAAAGCCUUCAUUUCUUGGGGAACUUGAUAUGGAACAUACGUGGAGUCCCAGAGUUAUGACAUGU